rnacentral:rRNA from 1 species
AUUGAACGCUGGCGGCAUGCCUUACACAUGCAAGUCGAACGGCAGCACGGGAGCAAUCCUGGUGGCGAGUGGCGAACGGGUGAGUAAUAUAUCGGAACAUACCCUAGAGUGGGGAGUAACGUAGCGAAGUUACGCUAAUACCGCAUACGAUCUACGGAUGAAAGUGGGGCGUCGCAAGACCUCAUGCUCAUGGAGUGGCCGAUAUCUGUA